rnacentral:rRNA from 1 species
AUGGAGAUGAAACCCAAAAGAUAUUCGUUAGGGCGUAACCCUCUCAGCGACGCGCCACAUCAGAACCCGGGUGUGGUGGAAAAUGGGCAAGGGCCGGGCCGUCACCCCCCAGGUGGCGCGCCGUAUCUCGAUCCGGAUACGGUGGCAAGUGAGCGAGGAUCGGGUCGUCGCAUCCUUAGUGGCGCGCUACAUCGGCGCCCGGAUGUAGUGGAAAAUGAGCAAGGGUCUUCGCAUUUGACUCGACGAGUGCGAAGGGUAAGGAAGCUAGCCGAGCCUAGGAGGAUUCGCUUAGGUAGCUGGAACGUAGGUUCUCUGACAGGGAAGCUUCGGGAGCUAGUUGAUGCAGCGGUGAGGAGAGGUGUUGAUAUCCUUUGCGUCCAAGAAACCAAAUGGAGAGAACAGAAGGCGAAGGAGGUGGAGGAUACCGGCUUCAAGCUGUGGUACACGGGGACGGCUGCAAACAGAAAUGGCGUAGGCAUCUUGAUCAACAAGAGCCUCAAGUAUGGAGUGGUAGACGUCAAGAGACGUGGGGACCGGAUUAUCCUGGUCAAGCUAGUAGUUGAGGACUUGGUUCUCAAUGUUAUCAGCGCGUAUGCCCCGCAAGUAGGCCACAAUGAGAACACCAAGAGCGAGUUCUGGGAAGGCCUGGAAGACAUGGUUAGGAGUGUACCGAUUGGUGAGAAGCUCUUCAUAGGAGGAGACCUCAAUGGCCACGUGGGUACAUCUAACACAGGUUUUGAAGGGGCGCACGGGGGCUUUGGCUAUCGCAUCAGAAAUCAAGAAGGAGAAGAUAUCUUAAGCUUUGCUCUAGCCUACAACAUGAUUGUAGCUAACACCCUCUUUAGAAAGAGAGAAUCACAUCUGGUGACUUUUAGUAGUGGCCAACACUCUAGCCAGAUUGAUUUCAUCCUCUCGAGAAGAGAAGAUAGGCGUGCGUGCCUAGACUGUAAGGUGAUACCUGGAAAGAGUGUUGUACCCCAUCAUAAGCUGGUGGUUGCUGACUUCCGCUUUCGGAUUCGUGUCCAGCGGGAUAAGCGUGCCAAAGUCGCUAGAACGAAGUGGUGGAAGCUCGAGGGGGAGGUAGCUCAGGCGUUCAAGGAGAGGGUCAUUAAGGAGGGCCCUUGGGAGGAAGGAGGGGAUGCGGACAAUGUGUGGAUGAAGAUGGCGACUUGCAUUCGUAAGGUGGCCUCGGAGGAGUUUGGAGUGUCCAGGGGAAGGAGAAGCGAAGAUAAGGAUACCUGGUGGUGGAAUGAUGAUGUCCAGAAGGCGAUUGAAGAGAAGAAAGAUUGCUUCAAACACCUAUACCUAGAUAGGAGUGCAGACAACAUAGAGAAGUACAAGAUGGCGAAGAAGGCUACAAAGCGGGUUGUUGGUGAAGCAAGGGGUCGGGCAUAUGAGGACCUCUACCAACGGUUAGGCACGAAUGAAGGCGAAAGGGACAUCUAUAAGAUGGCCAAGAUCCGAGAGAGGAAGACGAGGGAUAUUGGCCAAGUCAAAUGCAUCAAGGACAGAGCAGGCCAACUCUUGGUGAAGGACGAGGAGAUUAAGCAUAGAUAG